CACAAAAAACAAUACAAAACUUAACAAUAAAAACACAAAACAUAGCAAUUAAAAACAAACUCUCUUUUCCAUUUCCAAUUUUAAAUACUUAUUUUCUGGACUUCCUCAUACCUCCCUCUUUUGUAUUCCAAUCUACAUUGUUUGUCCAGCAGUUUCUUUUCCACUUUUUUAAUCCCAAUCUUUAAUUUAAUAAAACGUUAAGAUAUAUAACUUCAACUUUUUUAAACCUAAUCCUUGAUCUUAAUGUCAUAUAACUUUAAAUUUUUCCCUUUUACUAUCAAAUUUCCAUUUCUUUAAACAUCUUUAAUCUUGAUCUUUAAUCUUAAUCUAUCCUUAACUUUAACCUGUACAGCUGGAAACCACUUGUUUUCAGUCCAACAUCACUCUAACAUUCCUUAAUUUUGCAGUGUUUCUGAAGAUAGUCUUUGCUUUUGAACUAUAGACCUAUUGUAUGGAAGUUGGCAGCAGGACAGUGAAAAUGGAUUCUGUGUGCCCUAAUGGUGGCCGAGAGACUGAUACGGGUAAAUUGGAAGAAUGGAGAUACAUUUCCCCUUAAUCAAUGGCUUGACAACAUUUGUAACAUAGGAACAGACAGCUUUCAGACGCAGGCUUUCCAUGGAUAAAUACAGUGAGUGAGUUUACUGUGGUGAGUGAGAAGUCAUUUAAUUAAAAUUAAUUUGGUAUCAAUGUGUAAUCAUUUGUGAAAAUUGGGUUGUACUUUGGAAAAUCAAUAAAAAUAAUGGAC